rnacentral:lncRNA from 1 species
UGUAUAAUUUGCACAAAAUGUACUAAUACAUAGAAGCUUUUAAUUCAGUGCAUUAUUUAAAGGGCUCUAAUAAAACAUUCCCAAAAAAAAAAAAUAAUAAGCAAAAUUAAACAACCUCAUUGAGGGAGUAAAUAAAUGAAUGCUUUGCAAUAGCUUUUUUAUUCAAAUGGAAAGUUUGUAAUAUAUAUAUAUUUAUGUAUACAUGUUUAUGUAUACAUAUUUAUGAGCAUUUUUGCAACUGCAUAACUUUUUUUUUUUUUACGUCUUUACUUUUGUAAUAUCAUCACUAAUUGCUUUUUUUUUUUUUUUUUUUUAAAUCAUUACAAAAAAAUUCAAUGUUUCGGAUAAAAAUAUUUAUCCGUUGAGACUGAUUAAGUAAAAAAAAAAAUAAAAAUAAAUAAAUAAAUAAUUACAUAUAUAAACAUCAUACAUUAAACACAAUCAUGUAUGCCUUUUUUUAAGUAAUAACGUACACUUUUACAAUCAUUUUCAACAGCUUAAUUCAUUGUGAAUUAAAAAUUAUUAAAACAAUAUAACAAUUUUGCUUUAAAUAAAUCUGGUAAAAAAUAAGAUAAGUAAGCUUCAUAAAAAAAAAAUAAAAUGUUAAUUAUAAAAAUGCAAGAAAAUAAGAGUGAAUUAUUGUUUCAAGAAGAAAAUUGCAAAUGCGAAACUGAAAGUGACGAUAGUAGUUUAGAAAUACAACAAAUAUAUAAAAAAAUAAAUGUGGAGGAAGGUAAAAGAGGUAGGAUAGUAAGAAUACUUUCUGAAUUUAUACAAGUUCAAAAUAUAUUGAGAGAUGAAAAUAUAUUUUUUACUGUUGUCAUGUUUGGAUCAGCCAGAUCGUACAGUCAUGAGAGUUAUGAAUGUCGAAAAAACGAACUUGAAAAUAGGUUAAACGAAAUUAAUGAAAAAAUCAAAAAAAAUAUAACAUUAGUGAACGAAGAAAUAAAAGAAUAUGAAAAGUUACAAAAAGAUUUUGAAGCAUUAAAAAAAUUAAAAUGGACUACUAAAUAUUAUAAUCAAAUUUAUGAACUUUCAAAAAAGUUAACUUUAUUUUUUGCAACAGAAGAAGGAAAGCAGGCAGUGAAUAAUUUAUCUAUAUUAUUACCUAGGAAUCGGAAUUAUAUAAAAACUAAACAUAUGGGAACAUAUAGGAGUGGAGGUCCAGGUUUUAUGGAAGCAGCAAAUAAAGGAAGUAAAGACGCAAACGGAAAAUCUUUAGGUUUUAUGAUAUCAUUACCAUAUGAAAAAGAAGGUAAUAAAUAUAUUGAUAAAAAAUUAUCAUUUAAAUUUCAUUAUUUUUUUACUAGGAAAUUUUGGUUAAUUUAUUUAUCAUUAGCAUUUAUUAUUUUCCCUGGUGGUUU